CAAUAGCGUAUAUUAAAGUUGUUGCAGUUAAAAAGCUCGUAGUUGGAUUUCUGCCAGGGUGCCAAUGUCCGCCGAAGUGCGUGCGCAGCGGCGCCCUCGCAUCCUUCUGUUAACGCCUCUCGGCAUUUACUUGCCGGUGGUGGGCUCAGAUAAUUUACCUUGAGAAAAUUAGAGUGUUUCAGGCAGGCUAGGCCGGAAUACAUUAGCAUGGAAUAAUGGAAUAGGACUACGGUCUCGUUGUUGGUUUGAGGGACUGGAGUAAUGAUUAAUAGGGAUAGUUGGGGGCAUUAGUAUUUAAUUGUCAGAGGUGAAAUUCUCAGAUUUGUUAAAGACUAACUUAUGCGAAAGCAUUUGCCAAGGAUGUUUUCAUUAA
rnacentral:rRNA from 1 species